AGAGUUUGAUCAUGGCUCAGAUUGAACGCUGGCGGCAUGCCUUACACAUGCAAGUCGAACGGCAGCACGGGAGCAAUCCUGGUGGCGAGUGGCGAACGGGUGAGUAAUAUAUCGGAACGUGCCCAGUCGUGGGGGAUAACGUAGCGAAAGCUACGCUAAUACCGCAUACGAUCUAUGGAUGAAAGCGGGGGAUCGCAAGACCUCGCGCGAUUGGAGCGGCCGAUAUCAGAUUAGGUAGUUGGUGGGGUAAAGGCUCACCAAGCCGACGAUCUGUAGCUGGUCUGAGAGGACGACCAGCCACACUGGGACUGAGACACGGCCCAGACUCCUACGGGAGGCAGCAGUGGGGAAUUUUGGACAAUGGGCGCAAGCCUGAUCCAGCAAUGCCGCGUGCAGGAUGAAGGCCUUCGGGUUGUAAACUGCUUUUGUACGGAGCGAAAAGGCUCUCUCUAAUACAGGGGGCUCAUGACGGUACCGUAAGAAUAAGCACCGGCUAACUACGUGCCAGCAGCCGCGGUAAUACGUAGGGUGCGAGCGUUAAUCGGAAUUACUGGGCGUAAAGCGUGCGCAGGCGGUUAUGUAAGACAGAUGUGAAAUCCCCGGGCUCAACCUGGGAACUGCAUUUGUGACUGCAUAGCUAGAGUACGGCAGAGGGGGAUGGAAUUCCGCGUGUAGCAGUGAA
rnacentral:rRNA from 1 species